rnacentral:lncRNA from 1 species
CACGCCGGGCGAGGCGAUGCCAGGCAUGGGCCCGACAUGGUCCACAUUUGAGAGGCGGCUAUACGCAAGGCUCUGCUGCGGUGCUGGCGAGCCGAAGCCUCCAUUGCUCGGCGCAUACCCCUGUCGAAGUGACAAGUGUCAGGGCAGUGUUGUCAUGCAGCACAUUUGGACAGGGAGUUACCCGCUUGCUGUAUGGCGCAUAAUGCGACUCAGUGCCUUUCAGCGUUUCAAUUUCAGUAUGGAGGUCUGGGCAUCAAAUGAGGAUAUAGCCCAGUUCAAAUUCAGUAAUCUUCCCAUUUUGCAGUCUCAUGAAACUCCGCGACCAAUCAGUGCAAAUGGAAACAAUCGUUCGGCAACAAAAGAGCCGCCUCAUCAAAAAAUUGCCAUCAACUGUCUGGUCCAUUAUUACUUGCAAAUUCCCACGAUACUGACUUGGCCUCGCUGCUUGCUCCCAAUGAGGUGCAGAUGCUUCUGUUUUUUGUAUUUCAGCCACUCUCAGCCAAAGGGCAAUUAUAGAUCGAAACGAUCUGGUGCAAUCAUGGCAGCAAGCCUUACAGAACAGGUUCUUGGCAGAAUCAGCAUGACAGCCAUUAUGGCAGCAGAUGCCAUGCAGAAAUUUUUGGGAUGAGCUGGGACGAUGCAGAAACUCAGACCAGACGCCGCCAGCAUUCCAUCCAGCAAGAUCACAGGUUUUUCCAGACACAGUAUUGCCGUUGCAACGUGUCCGUCCCUUUGCGCUCCAAAUCUAAUCGGGCUUUUCUCCUCAAUAAUGGGCUCGUAUACUGCAGCCUUCGCGCUGCUUGCCAUGCUCAAAUAUUUUCAGAUCACAUGGCAAGCUGCCAGCAGCUUCAGGUGGAUUCUGAGCACUCACCAGGUUGGUGGGCCUCGGCUGCUUCAGGCGCGGGUCUCCAUACACAUCUGCCCACGUCAGAAACGCCCAAUGAGUCGCACAGAUCACCUCGGCAGGUUAUACAGUCAGCGGCGUGACAAUCUCAGCAGGCUGCACUCUCCUCGAUGCUAUACACGAUCACAGUCGAAUGCGCUGUCGGCCGUUCUGUUGACCCUGCCUUCAGUAUCAUGAUUUGACAAGACGCAGUACCAUGACACAUAUCAGUCAUGCGCAAGAAGCAGAGCAAAAUUUGCAGCAUGAGGAUCGCCGCAGAAUUGCCGGCAGAUGGCGCACUGAAGUGUGCUGCUUGAUCUCGAAUUCCAAAAACACUUCUUUGGUACAUGCACGGAAUUCGGUUGCCAAUUGGCCAAUAGGACCCCAUCUUCAAAUGAAGGUAAAGGGAUCUUAUGAGACUCAACCUCUGUAGCUGCAUAAUUCUUGGAUCACUGUGCUAUCAUUCUGUGCGAACAGGCUGUUUUCAGCGGUUUCCAAAAUUCUCUCCCAGAAAGACGAUUGUCCAAUCCUUCCACUUUGCCAAUGGCGCAUGUGGAAAAGCUUCCCAAUUGAAGGUAGACAUGCAUACGAGGUAGCAGGGCAUGCAUAACAGAUGCCGCAUGCAUGCUGGAAGAACCAAGAAGCCUGAGUUCUGGGUGGUAGGUCUACCCGUGCGCAGCCAGAAUUUCAGAGCUAGCUGAUCAUGCUUAAUUCUUCAGUAGACCAGAAGACUUUUGUACGGGUGCAACAGAGAGCACAAACAAGAUGAGCCGCUUGCAAAUGUUAUCACUAACUGGCAGAAGCACAGAGCAUAGCAGUGGGAAGAUGAAGAAUGUAGCAGAGUUAGUCUCCUUGCUGCUCCUUAGAAAUAUUUGAUGCGGUAUCAUUGGGGGCGAAAAGUUUUAUUAGGAUCUAGCAGGAGUCCUGUAGAGCUGCUCAUACCUGGGCCUUCACGGCUGCGCUUCAGUGGUUGACCAGCUGUUGGCAGCGGCUGCAUUGUCUUCAUGACCAGGCCUGAAGAACUCCAGCCCCUCCACCCGUG